rnacentral:siRNA from 1 species
UAUCAUCAUUUCCUACGAGUC